GACGAACGCUGGCGGCGUGCUUAACACAUGCAAGUCGAACGGAAAGGCCCUGCUUUUGUGGGGUGCUCGAGGGGCGAACGGGUGAGUAACACGUGAGUAACCUGCCCAUGACUUUGGGAUAACUUCAGGAAACUGGGGCUAAUACCGGAUAGGAGCUCCUGCUGCAUGGUGGGGGUUGGAAAGUUUCGGCGGUUGGGGAUGGACUCGCGGCUUAUCAGCUUGUGGGUGGGGUAGUGGGUUACCAAGGCUUUGACGGGUAGCCGGCGUGAGAGGGUGACCGGCCACAUUGGGACUGAGAUGCGGCCCAGACUCCUACGGGAGGCAGCAGUGGGGAAUAUUGCACAAGGGGCGGAAGACUGAUGCAGCAACGCCGCGUGCGGGAUGACGGCCUUAGGGGUGGAAACCGCUUCCGCCUGUGACGAAGCGUGAGUGGCGGUAAUGGGUAAAGAAGCACCGCCUAACUACGUG
rnacentral:rRNA from 1 species